rnacentral:rRNA from 1 species
UGGGGAAUAUUGGGCGAUGGGCGAAAGCCUGACCCAGCGACGCCGCGUGGGUGAUGAAGGCCUUCGGGUUGUAAAGCCCUGUCAUGCGGAAAGAACGACCCUGUGACGCAUACUCACAGGGAGUGACGGUACCGCAGGAGGAAGCACCGGCUAACUCCGUGCCAGCAGCCGCGGUAAUACGGAGGGUGCAAGCGUUGUUCGGAAUUAUUGGGCGUAAAGGGCGCGUAGGCGGUAAUGUAAGUCAGAUGUGAAAGACUCCGGCUCAACCAGAGAACAGCAUCUGAAACUGCAUAACUAGAGUACAGAAGAGGGAAACGGAAUUCCCGGUGUAGAGGUGAAAUUCGUAGAUAUCGGGAGGAACACCAGUGGCGAAGGCGGUUUCCUGGUCUGAUACUGACGCUGAGGCGCGAAAGCGUGGGGAGCAAACAG